rnacentral:lncRNA from 1 species
UCCCAGCUUUCCCAGACCAUACAGUGAAACUAAGAUGGGCCGCUGAGGGGCCCUUUCCAUUGUGCCUGAGGCAGAAAGAACAACCAAACCUAACCUCACGGCCAACAAAACCAAUGUCAUAGAGAAUGAUACUUUGGCCUUCACCUGUGGCACAGAACAGACGGGAGUGGACAUUCUGUGGUUCUUGGAUAAAAAGCCCCUGAUUCUCAAUGAGAAGAUGAAACUGUCCAUGAAUAACCAGACCCUCACCAUCCUGUCUGUGAAGAGGGAGAACACUGGGUCCUAUCAGUGUGAAAUCCAGAAUCCAAUCAGUUUCAGCAGAAGUGACCCUUUAUCCUGCGUGUGAACUAUGGACCAGACAGCAUCAUGUUUGUACCAAACCCAAAAAAGGAGAGAUUGAGGUCAAAUUCAACAACCCACUGAUGUUAGAGUGCUGUGUUGAGUCUUACCCACCUGCCCAGUAUAUAUGGCAACUCAAUGGCACCAAGAUCCCUGACAUCUCUAAUAAUACCUAUGUCAUCAAAAAUGUAAAUUUGAAAAAUUCAGGAAAGUAUACAUGUUUGGCAAAGAACAAGGUAACCAACUUGUCGGUCUCUAAGAG